CUGGGAUGAAGCAAGCAGGAGCUGAUCGAGCCUAUCUGGUUUGGGAGGUAACUGCUCAUCUCAGGAUGCAAGACAUUGAGCUUGAGGUGAAGAGAGAGCUGCUAGCCAGACAUUUGUCUGGUGUCACUCAUGAGGCCGGUGAGCUGAAGGACCUUGGACAGCGUAUCUCCUCAGCUCUGUCUGAUCCCAAGUCAUCUGUCGGCGCAGUUGAGGACAUUCAGAAAAGCCCAGAUGACUUCAAAAU